rnacentral:rRNA from 1 species
UACGAAGGGGGCGAGCGUUGUUCGGAUUUACUGGGCGUAAAGGGCGCGCAGGCGGCCAUUCAAGUCAGGCGUGAAAGCCCCGGGCUUAACCUGGGAGGUGCGCUUGGGACUGGGUGGCUAGAGAUCGGGAGAGGAGAGUGGAAUUCCCAGUGUAGAGGUGAAAUUCGUAGAUAUCAGGAGGAACACCAACGGCGAAGGCAGCUCGCUAGGACGGUACUGACGCUAAGGCGCGAAAGCGUGGGGAGCGAACAGG